rnacentral:rRNA from 1 species
GACGAACGCUGGCGGCGUGCUUAACACAUGCAAGUCGAACGAUGAAGAAGAGAAACGCGAACUUCGGUUCAACUUUCACUUCGGAUUAGUGGCAGACGGGUGAGUAACGCGUGAGCAACCUACCUCUUACAAAGGGAUAGCCUCGGGAAACCGUGAUUAAUACCAUAUGACACAUUCAUAAGGCAUCUUAAGAAUGUUAAAGCUACGGCGGUAAGAGAUGGGCUCGCGUCCCAUUAGCUAGUUGGUGAGGUAACGGCCCACCAAGGCGACGAUGGGUAACCGGCCUGAGAGGGUGAACGGUCACAUUGGAACUGAGACACGGUCCAAACUCCUACGGGAAGCAGCAGUGGGGAAUAUUGCACAAUGGAGGGAACUCUGAUGCAGCGACGCCGCGUGAGCGAUGAAGGAAUUCGUUUCGUAAAGCUCUGUUCUAUGGGAAGAAAAGGACUGUACCAUAGGAGAAAGCCCCGGCUAAAUACGUG